rnacentral:rRNA from 1 species
UAAGGAAUAUUGGUCAAUGGACGCAAGUCUGAACCAGCCAUGCCGCGUGAAGGAUGAAGGUCCUCUGGAUUGUAAACUUCUUUUAUCUGGGACGAAAACGGGAUUUUUAUCUCAAUUGACGGUACCAGAGGAAUAAGCACCGGCUAACUCCGUGCCAGCAGCCGCGGCAAUACGGAGGGUGCGAGCGUUAUCCGGAUUUACUGGGUUUAAAGGGUGCGUAGGUGGGCUUAUAAGUCAGUGGUGAAAUCUCCGAGCUUAACUUGGAAACUGCCGUUGAUACUAUAGGUCUUGAAUUAUCUGGAGGUAAGCGGAAUAUGUCAUGUAGCGGUGAAAUGCUUAGAUAUGACAUAGAACACCAAUUGCGAAGGCAGCUUACUACAUAUAAAUUGACGCUGAGGCACGAAAGCGUGGGGAUCAAACA